rnacentral:rRNA from 1 species
GAGGGCUUCGGUCCUUGAGUACAGCGGCGAACGGGUGCGUAACACGUGGGCAAUCUGUCCUUGAGGUGGGAAUAACCCAGCGAAAGUUGGGCUAAUGCUGGAUAAGACCACAGGAGUCUGCUCCAGGGGUCAAAGGGUGCUUCCUUUAGGAGCAUUCCUUCAAGGAGGGGCCCGCGGCCUAUCAGCUAGUUGGUAGGGUAACGGCCUACCAAGGCAACGACGGGUAGCUGGUCUGAGAGGAUGGCCAGCCACACGGGGACUGAGACACGGCCCCGACUCCUACGGGAGGCAGCAGUGGGGAAUAUUGGGCAAUGGGCGCAAGCUUGACCCAGCGACGCCGCGUGGGUGAUGAAGGCCUUCGGGUCGUAAAGCCCUGUCGGGAGGAACGAACGAUCUUAGAGCGAAUAGCUCUGAGAAGUGACGGUACCUCCGAAGGAAGCACCGGCCAACUCCGUGCCAGCAGCCGCGGUAAGACGGAGGGUGCAAGCGUUGCUCGGAAUCAUUGGGCGUAAAGGGUGCGUAGGCGGCUUCCCAAGUCUGGCGUGAAAGCCCAGGGCUUAGCCCUGGAAGGGCGCUAGAAACUGGGGAGCUCGAGUGCCGGAAGGGAGAGUGGAAUUCCCGGUGUAGCGGUGAAAUGCGUAGAUAUCGGGAGGAAUACCGGUGGCGAAAGCGACUCUCUGGACGGCUACUGACGCUGAGGCACGAAAGCGUGGGGAGCAAACAGGAUUAGAUACCCUGGUAGUCCACGCCGUAAACGAUGGGCACUAGGUGUCGGGGGUAUCCACUCCCCUCGGUGCCGCCGCUAACGCAUUAAGUGCCCCGCCUGGGAAGUACGGGCCGCAAGGUUAAAACUCAAAAGGAAUUGA